rnacentral:rRNA from 1 species
CAAGUCAGCGGCGGACGGGUGAGUAACACGUGGGUAACCUGCCUGUAAGACUGGGAUAACUCCGGGAAACCGGGGCUAAUACCGGAUAACAUCAAAAACCGCAUGGUUUUCUAUUGAAAGGCGGCUUCGGCUGUCACUUACAGAUGGACCCGCGGCGCAUUAGCUAGUUGGUGAGGUAACGGCUCACCAAGGCAACGAUGCGUAGCCGACCUGAGAGGGUGAUCGGCCACACUGGGACUGAGACACGGCCCAGACUCCUACGGGAGGCAGCAGUAGGGAAUCUUCCGCAAUGGACGAAAGUCUGACGGAGCAACGCCGCGUGAGUGAAGAAGGUUUUCGGAUCGUAAAACUCUGUUGUCAGGGAAGAACAAGUGACGGGAGUAACUGACCGUACCUUGACG